UACAGAGGGUGCGAGCGUUGUCCGGAAUCACUGGGCGUAAAGGGCGCGUAGGCGGCUUGAUAAGGUUGCGGUGAAAGCCCGGGGCUCAACCCCGGGUCGGCCGUGGCAACUGUCGAGCUGGAGCACUGUAGAGGCAGGUGGAAUUCCGGGUGUAGCGGUGGAAUGCGUAGAGAUCAGGAAGAACACCGGUGGCGAAGGCGGCCUGCUGGGCAGUGGCUGACGCUGAGGCGCGACAGCGUGGGGAGCAAACAGG
rnacentral:rRNA from 1 species